AGAGUUUGAUCCUGGCUCAGAACGAACGCUGGCGGCAUGCCUAACACAUGCAAGUCGAACGUGAUCCUGGGUUUCGGCCUGGGUGAAAGUGGCAGACGGGUGAGUAACGCGUGGGAACCUGCCCUGUGGUAGGGAAUAACUGCGGGAAACUGCGGCUAAUACCCUAUGUGCCCUGAGGGGCAAAGAUUUAUCGCCAUGGGAGGGGCCCGCGUCGGAUUAGGUAGUUGGUGGGGUAACGGCCCACCAAGCCUUCGAUCCGUAGCUGGUCUGAGAGGAUGAUCAGCCACACUGGGACUGAGAUACGGCCCAGACUCCUACGGGAGGCAGCAGUGGGGAAUAUUGGACAAUGGGGGCAACCCUGAUCCAGCAAUGCCGCGUGGGUGACGAAGGCCUUCGGGUUGUAAAGCCCUUUCGGCGGGGAAGAUGAUGACGGUACCCGCAGAAGAAGCCCCGGCUAACUUCGUGCCAGCAGCCGCGGUAAUACGAAGGGGGCUAGCGUUGUUCGGAAUUACUGGGCGUAAAGGGCGCGUAGGCUGUGCUGUAAGUCA
rnacentral:rRNA from 1 species